AUGAGGGCCACAAAGAAGUUUAUCACUUCGGUGUAUUAUCGCGGACUUCAGUCAUUAUCAGUGUCUAUCACUCUUUAUCUCUGCUUCCCCUGUGAGAUAAAGAAGAGAGACAAUAAUGUAGAUCAGAGGUUGGGUUGUAUUUCAGUUAAUCCAUCUAUUUCUAUCUCUAGAUUUCUAAUAUUCCCUGGGGACACAAGUUGUCUGCCUACUGCUGUCACUAAUCUACUGCUGAAGACUGAGGCCAGAAUGCGAUUUGCUCUGCCACGAGCCUGGGUAAUGGAGGUGCUCCCGGACAGCUGGAGGAGCACACUGCACCCCAAACCAGAGGACAUGGAUGAAAUACGUUGCUGUGAGCAAUCUACCCACUCAGCUUCAGACACCAGGAAUUGCUAUGCAAGACAAUUUGAAGACUUCAGAGAGCUCUGGGGGAUCUCUUUGACUCUUGGGGUAGUCCAAGAGGACACCAGCAUGUCAAUUCUCUGGGCAGAGAUUUUGAAGUUUAGAUGAAUGGAAGGUAUGUGUGAAGAAAGGAGAAGAAACUGAGCCUUCUUGGUCCAUAGUGGAUGGUGUUCUGUUCCAAGCCCUCCUGCAAAUCAAGCUGUCUGUACUCAGCCCAUGCAAUACCAAACCCCUGGCUAGAACCCUGAGCUCAUGAGAUGUGGCACUUUAUCCCCAGUGUUAUCCAGCCUUGACAACCAAAUGGUCCAAAAUAUGAGUGGCCAGCUCAGCACCAGCACUGUGUCCUACAAGGGGAGAGGAUAAUUGAUGUUGGUUACAGGUGGCUGCCAGGACCUAGCACAUGGCUUCAGUCCCCAGGAAUGACAUGCUGCCAUCAGUGGGGGGAUGAUGAGCAGCUGCCAGAGCUGUGUGAGCAGGCCUCAGCUGAGGGCCGUGAGGCAAGAGGGCAGAGCACCCAGCAGAGGACAAGCAGAGGGAGCCCAGCACCAACAGCACCAUGGCUGUGGCUGAGCUGGGGAGAGUGGGGGACUGCUGGCACCAAACCUGUUGGCUUGUUGAUGCACAUCAAUAUGGAUUGUGCCUUCUGUUUCCCAGAAAAUAAUUAAGAUCUCUGCAUGGCCUGCUACUUCAGGAUCACUCAAUGCAUGAUUAAGCUGAAGCAUUAGUGACCUCAAGGAAGGAGAAAGAGGAGGAGGAAGAGAAGGAAGAAGAGAAGGAGGAAGGGAAGCAGCUGGCCAGUCUUUCCAUUGAACAGAAGUCAGGACUGGCUCAGGCACAAUAACUCCAUUGACUCAGGAAAAUAAAUAUGCAUUCAUUCAGAAGAUUAUCUAAUCA
rnacentral:lncRNA from 1 species